rnacentral:rRNA from 1 species
AUGAAGCAGGAGAAAAUUUCUGCCGGCGGCGGUUGCCGGAGACUCGAGCGGAUGAUGGGUAGAAACAUCGCACGAAGCCACGAUCUGCGUGAUGCUGCCGUCAAAUCCUGUCGAUCGAGCUGCCAGGAAACAAAGGUGCUGCGGGCGUGCUUCUGCUGGGCUUCGUGUUUGACGAUGGGCCUUUUUGCCAGGAUGGCGCUCCGCCACCGACGACCCCACGAACUCCUCCGAGCUCCGCGCUUCCGUCCACGCCGGUGGAUCAUCAUCGACGAGGUCGUCGAGAGCCACUCACGUCUGCUGGUGAACACCGUGAGCGGUCGUGUCGUCCGCAAGGAGCUGCCUAUACUCAGUAACUACUUCGUCGUUGCUACCCACGGUGGCUUCUUCGUCCUCGCCGACAAGGAGCCCCCUCACGCAGCGGCUGUCCUCAACCCUUUCACCGGUCACAUUAUCCGCUUCAAGGCGCCCGUGCCCUCCUGUGUUGAUUGUUCUGUUGCCGCUCUCUGCAGUCUUUCCACGGGAAAGUUAUCUAUGAGCUAUCGUUUCCCCGAGCACGGUUAUUCACAGCGCCACCGUUCUUCACCCACCCAGUUUUUCCUUGUGGAAUCUGCUGGAGAAAUUUUUGCUAUCAUUAAGCUGAAGAAACACGUGAAAGUGUUUCGGCUGGACAACGUCAACCGCAACGGUGAGGUUGAGCCUGUGAGAAGCAUCGGCGGCCGUGCCAUCUUACAAACUUACAGUCAUGCAUGCUUACGCCUUACAGUACAGUACUGA